AAACUUGAAAGUAACAAAAAACACAAAAAACACACUUGUAGGGAAUUUCAAUAAUAGCUCUUGUCAGCUGUAAAUUUUUAUUGCGCAUUAGAAUGUCCAAAUUGGAAAGACAUUUUAUAGAACCAGAAUUCUAAUAAUAAAUUGUAAAAUAAUAGUUUUGUGAAUUGAUACUUGAAUAUAAGAACAUCAUAUAAAUGGAGCCAUGCGAUUGUUCAAAUCCACGUUGCAUAUCAAAAAAACAAGAUCGAGUAAGACAACUCCGUAAAAUAAUUCGAAAGUUAUUUAAGCGGUAUGCAGUAAUUAAUAAGAACGCACCUACACUUUUGGAAAUAUCUACUAAAAUAUUAAACGGUGUUAAAAAUAACGAAUUCAAGAUUUUAAAACGCCGAUGGUUACAAACUAAAUCCAUAGUGGAAGUGAACAAGGCUUUCAUAUUUCAAUAUGUUUGGUACAUGGAAAAUUGCAGGACAGCUCAAUCUAUAUUGAAUUCCAACA
rnacentral:lncRNA from 1 species